CGGAAAAGGCUCUUUCCCACCGGAAAGAGAGAGAAGGUGCUGCCCCGCGCCCACCCGAGGGAGGGCUAGGUGCGUCUGUGGCCACCGGCCGGGCGGGCAACAUCCGCCCUCUAGUAGGCAGGCUGGCUGGUGUGUCGGGUUUCGGGGAGUUUGGCGGGGAGCCGGCGUAGAGGUUUAUGAGCUCUUCUGAAAGCAGAAUGCCAUUGCUUCCAUGUUCUGAUCAUUCAGAGAUUGGGAAGAUACAGUUCCUGCCUUUCAUUUUUGUCAAGUGGAGCAGACAUAGAUUUAUCAGCAGGUUGCUGGUGAACAUGGCCUUGAGGUAAAUCCUGCCCCUUGUUGAAAUUUAAUUUCAGUAGAUUAUUCAUGGUAUUUUAGGAAUUGGAAUAUUUUACAGAAAAAGUUUUGUUUGGUUCUGUUCUAGUUAUUUUUUUUUUCUUCUUGUAGAAGAAACAUGUUUAAUCAAAAGUUCUUUAUGCUGAAUAAUUGUGAUGCUUUAAGCUGGUCAUCUGCCUUAAGUGGAUCUUAAAUGUUAAUGGUCAGUGGCAGUUCUAGAUUUUUUUUUUCUUGGUCAAAUAAAAAUUUCACUUAAACCUUA